AGCUUUUCGAAUCCGUGCUGAGAUAUCGUCAGACACCAACCCAUUAGGGCUGAUCACACUUCAAAGAUACGUGAAGUU
rfam:Schistosoma curassoni strain Dakar, Senegal genome assembly, scaffold: SCTD_scaffold0000974